rnacentral:rRNA from 1 species
GACGAACGCUGGCGGCGUGCUUAACACAUGCAAGUCGAACGAUGAAGCCGGAGCUUGCUCCGGUGGAUUAGUGGCGAACGGGUGAGUAACACGUGAGCAAUCUGCCCUUGACUCUGGGAUAACUGCGGGAAACUGUAGCUAAUACCGGAUACGACACCUUGGGGCAUCCCAGGGUGUGGAAAGAAUUUCGGUCAAGGAUGAGCUCGCGGCCUAUCAGCUAGUUGGUGAGGUAAUGGCUCACCAAGGGGACGACGGGUAGCCGGCCUGAGAGGGUAACCGGCCACACUGGAACUGAGACACGGUCCAGACUCCUACGGGAGGCAGCAGUGGGGAAUAUUGCACAAUGGGCGAAAGCCUGAUGCAGCAACGCCGCGUGAGGGAUGAAGGCCUUCGGGUUGUAAACCUCUUUUAGCAGGGAAGAAGCGAAAGUGACGGUACCUGCAGAAAAAGCACCGGCUAACUACGUGCCAGCAGCCGCGGUAA